UGGAGUAGAGCUCAGUGGUAGAGCACGUGCUUUGCACGCACGGGGUCCUGGGUUCAAUCCCUUGUAUUUCCA
rnacentral:tRNA from 1 species